UCCUCCUGUGGUCAUAAAAACAUACAUAAUUAAUGUUUUUUACUGGCAUAUUUCAAAGAAUAUAUUAACUAAUAAGGAACAGUAGAAGCAGUCAAUAGGGUACCUCAUCUUUACACUGGAACAGAUAUUCAUUUCCAUCUUCAAGUCUGGCAUAUGGAACAAGGAUAAAACAAUUAGUCAAGAUCUCGCAAGAAGCAUUGGUUAGGUUCAGGGGUUCCUCACCAUGGUAGGUGACACUGUGACUAAAGCUCUUGGCGUCCUUGUAAGCAGUGAGCUGCCCAGGUUUAAGCACACAGUAAAUGUUGUUCCAGGACCUGAGACAAGACAUGAGAAGAUCCCUCCAUCUCAUGUUUGCGGGAUAGAGGUCCCUCCAUCAAGACUGAUUGAACUUGUGAGGAUUCAGUGGGAAGCGUGGCAGCUUUUUCUGUCUCUUUGGUAACCUGGAUGGAUGUGGAAGGGUCCAGCUCCAGUGAGCCACUUUCCUGCAUUUCUGAGAUCAAAGGCACAGUGGAUUCCCCUGCUGUGCCAUCAAAUCCCACGGAACUUGGCUCUAUUACUCCUAAACCAGACUGAAGAUCACAAAAGAACAAAGUUUGAGUACAGAUUCAAACAAGUAUUCCAGGAGAUGACAACAUGAAAUGUGAAAGAAUGUCUGAUAAGAAGAAUGUUGUUAAUGAAGAGAAAGAUGAUGAGAUUCCUACAAAAACCUGAACUCACCAGAGACUGUUCUUCUGUGGUGUAGAUUUGUGAAGACUCCUCUACAAACCCGGUGUCU